UGGCAGUGUAUUUAGCUGGGUAA
rnacentral:miRNA from 1 species